UUCAAGUCUAAGUUAUAAGAGCAUAAAUUCUAGAGCAAGGAGCAGUGGGACGUAGGACAAGAGACAGGGACAGACCUCAUCCCAAAAGUUCUUAAAUACCAUCCCACUGAAUCUGAACUUGAUCAUUCCAGAUUUUGUCAGGGUGUGAACCGGUCACCUGUGUUCACACUUGGCUGCAGUAUAGAGAAAGAAGUCAAGGGGGCAGGCCUGGAAGAGUUUAGGAAAGCGAAGCAGCCACAUAAAUGUGGCCCAGUGGUAGAGAUCAACUUGAGAGCUUAGAAGGCAAACUGAGCAGAAUGUAAUUAUAAUUCUCCCCUCCCCUUCCUGACUCACAGAAGCAUGAGCAUAUAUCCAAACACUGUAGGGACACAUCGCUAUGACAACAGUGUUCUGCAUCCGAGCAGCUUGGAAAUGAGUUAAUUCUGCACUAUUCUUUCCCCUAUAAAGAACCCCAGCUGUUGGUCCAGAUGUAGUGGCUCAAGUCUGUAAACCUAGUUUGGGAGUACUUUGGGAGGCUGAGUAGGGAGAAUUACUUGAGCCCAAGAGUUUGAGAUAAUCCUGGACAAUGUAGCAAGACCCUCCCUCUACAAAAAUAAAAAUUAAAAAAGAACCCCAGCUGGGCCAGGAAAGGUAGCUCACGCCUGUAAUCCCAGCACUUUCGGAGGCUGAAGUGGGUGGAUCACCUGAGGUCAGGAGUUCGAGACCAGCCUUGGCCAACAUGGUGAAACUCUGUCUCUACUAAAAAUACAAAAAUUAGCCAGGCGUGGUGGCACGUGCCUGUAACCCCAGCUACUUAGGAGGCUGAGGCAGGAGAAUCACUUGAACCUGGGAGGCAGAGGUUGCAGUGAGUCCAGAUUGUGCUACUGCACUCCAGCCUGGGCGACAGAGUGAGACUCUGUGUCAAAAAACAAAAAACAAAACAAAAAAAAAGAACCCCAGCUGUCUGGAUUGGUUGGGGGAUGGAUUCUGCACUUUUCAUACUUAGCAAAGUCAGCUCAGUAGCUCAGAAGGGUGUCACGAGAUCAGUUGGGAUAUGGGACAGAACAAGUUCCACAGUUUCUCAUCCAGAUUUUCUCCAUUUCCCCACAACGCCCCAGGCAUUCUUGGCAUGAACUGUGCCUCAGGCCUGGCCUGAGGACUUUGGUUCAGUGAGCUCCUGGCCCCAAAGACGGAAGCGGGGAAGGGUUAGAGAAGAAAAACCAACUCAGGAACAAAAUCUUCAUUAUUAAUAGUAUGUAACGUGGCCGGGCGUGGUGGCUUACACCUAUAAUCCCAGCACUUUGGGAGGCUGAGGUGGGCAGAUCACUUGAGGUCAGGAGUUGAAGACCAGCCUGGCCAAUAUGGUGAAACCCCAUCUCUACUAAAAAUACAAAAAUUAGCUGGGCGUGGCCGUGUGCACCUGUAAUCCCAGUUACUUGGGAGGCUGAGGCAGAGGUUGCAGUGAGCUGAGAUCGUGCCAUUGCACUCCACCCUGGGUGACAGAGCAAGAUUCCGUCUCAAAUAAUAAUAAUAACAAAAACAACAACAUGCAGCCAGGUGAACUAGAAACAGCGUGGGCCUGAGAUUCACAUUUGCCCUCUUUUCCCCCCGACCCCCCAAGCGCUAUGACUCAGGAGGACCCAGAGAGAACCUCUCCUCAGGGGUGGGGAGCAACAGCCUCAGGAUAGUCCAGUGGGUGAAGCAUGGUAAGGGUAACAGCCCACGUUCCCUGGGCCCUCACUGAGUGCCAGGCACCCUCCCAAGGGCUAUCAAGGGCACCAGGCUCACGAGGGACAGUCCCCUCCAUCCUCCACUCAAGCCCCACCUGCCCAGUGGCCUUCCUUUCACACAUCACGCACAUUGCAUUUCCAAACCAAGUCUUUGCACAGACUCUAAUGUUCCUUUCUCUUGUUCUCCUCCAACCUACCAUUGAGCCUUUAAGGCUGAGCUCCAUCCAGCAUUUGCUGAGCCUUCCCUAGUGCCUCUCCCCGGCCUGCAGCUCCCUAAAGUACUCUCUCUUCUGGGCUCUCCAGCAAUCAUUACUUCAAUCUUCCUCAUUAGACUCUGAACUCCCUGUGGAGGGCUGGAAUCACUUUCCCUCCUAUGGCCCCAAGUCAAAGCCUGGCAUAGAGUGGAUAGAAAGUCCCUACACCCUGACCCGUCCGCACUCCCUAACACUCCUACUCUCCCAGCCAGCCUUACGGCAUCGCCACAGUUCUCCCUGAGAGAGGCAGAGGUACUGCCAGCUGCACAGGUCAAAUUCUAGUGGUUAAGAAAAGGCCAGGAUGAGAAAAGGGUGCCCAGGGUGUGCAUGCGUGAUGAUGGUAACGAAGGGGUAGAGAAAAGGGGGAGAGCCUGGGUGGGGACCGGUUGUGGGCACCUGGCAGGUUUGGAGGCGGGGGCAUCAAUGGAGGUGGGAAGCGAUGGGUCAGACCAGGCUGGGGGGAGACUCUCGCGCUGCAACUCCCAAGGGAAGGAGAGUGGGGGAAAGGAGUCAGGGCAAAGCACUGUCUAGUUGUCCCGGGGUUCCCAGAGCUGCGGGGUGGACCUGGGGUGGGGAGCGAGGGACGAAUCCGUCGGUGCUGCCCGCGGCCGGGCCCGAGCGGGGUGGUGCACGGCUGGGGACAGGCUCAG
rnacentral:lncRNA from 10 species